CUCCCGAUGUAAACCGUCUCCGGGUUCCUCAGGUCGAAGGCGACGACUUCGCCGCACAACGCGGAGGGCCCGACCCCGUCGAAAUCACCCUCGAAGUCGAGUUUGCGCCAGCUUGCGCCGCCGUUUGUCGUCUUCCACAGACCACCGUCCCAGCGGCCAUCGGCAACACGCCCGGCGGCACGCAGCAUGAUAUCCGCCCCGCUCUCCACACCCUCGCUGUACCAGGUUGCCUGCAACGCGUGUGGCCCCAGGAGGACAAGGGCAAUGAGCAGGGCGGCGAUUCUUCGUCGG
rnacentral:rRNA from 1 species